UUGCUUUGGUUUGUCAUCAUUCAUUGUUCAGAAUACAGCUGCUUAAUGACAGGAUGUGGGAAAUGAAGUUUAUGUCCUCGUAGGCUUUAAAAUAAAAAUUCCUGAACAAUGGAGGGGAAGGACGCGCUUGCACAGAGCAGCCUGCCUGCGCGCUGAGCCGCAGCCCCGCCGGAGCUCCACAGACAGAGCUUUUGCUCUGCGCUUUAAAAAUAACCUGCUGUGUAAACCGGGGCAGCAUCCGCGCCUCGGCUCUGCUUACGUUACACGGCCGCUGCAGCUGCCUCUGCCCCGCGCCUCGCAGAGCGGGCCCCGUGUUUGAUAGGAAGAAAUGGAAAAUAAAAGACAACUGCCACGUACCUGCACGGGGGCGCUGCUUCUUUGCAAGCGCCCCUUGUUCAAUUCGGCUAGCAAACGAUCAGAAGGGGAAGGGAAGGAAUUGGCCAUAAAGACUGGGAGCAAGUGGGACACGGGCAGAGGAGACUUCGUUAAGCAGGCCGUGAUGCAGGGCCCCUGUUGGCGUGCUCGUGGCUCAUCCCUGGCGGCGCAGGACGGCAGGCGGGCGCGUGAUCUUUGCUCCUGGUGGGAACGCUUUCAUCCGGGUACAUGGCACAUUAGGGCAGAAAAGGGAAAUUGCUUGCAUGCAGAAUGGCCAGGACCAGUGGUUUGUGCCCACCGCAGCUCUGUAGGACACAGAAGUUGCCUCUUCCACGCCUCGUAGCACCGUGGUUUCACAGCAGCACUGAACAGGCUCUAAAUGGCAUAGAUCAUGUGAAAUUUCUGAAAAAGCUGCUUCACGGACCUCACAGUUCCUCCACUGUCUGUGAACGAGAGAAUGUUCCCCUGGUCGGGCCCUUCCUCUGCUCUUGCCAUUUACUCCAGGCAGCAGAAGUCCUUGGGAUUGAUGCAGGUAAGCAUCAGUUGAAACC